ACAACCACGAUGUUGGAGAGGGAAGCAGCUACCUCAAAAGAAGGGAAUGAACGGUUGAGACCAGACAAUAUAAUAAGUGGCCACUCUCUGGUAGAGAAAGACUUUGGAGGUGGGUAGAAAUAUUUUAACUCUAUGCUGCUGCUUCCUGAGUGUGACAUUGAACUUGAGUCACUGUAGUGAGAUAUGAGGCAAGACAUUUAAAUUCCUGUCAAUGCUCAAUAACUAAUUGCUAACUAAAAUAAUGAUAAAGUACUAGUUAAAUGCAAGGUUCUAGUAUUGUUGAUAUAGUUUUGGUCUUUAAUUUAAAAUUUUUCUUAUCACGGUCUAGAUGGGAUACAAUUUCAAAACUGUUUUUUUUCCCUACACUGUGGCCACUUUCCCCAAGCAGUAUGUUCAAAUAGAUAGUAAGCUCCUGGAAAGCAUGGACAAUAUUUUCUGCAUCUUUUCUCUUCCCACAGCACAAAGGGCUGGGCUUAGGACUGUGUUAACAAUACUUGCUUAAAAAGCACUUGCUAAGUUGCAUCGUUGAAAAGAUUUACAGACUAGUCACAUUGGGAGUACAUACCCAAAUUUAGCAUUGCUUCUGCUGGUGUUCUAUGUCCUGGGCACAUAAGGAUGUCUGAGAAUAGGUAUUCAGAGUGUUAAUAUUCACUUUUACAGAAAAUGAGCAAAUGGGUGAUUUUUAUCAAUUUCUUUAACCUAAACUUGCAGAGUCAUGUGAAAUAGUUUUCAUGUUCAAUAACAUUGUUGCCCUAAAAUUGAGGAAUAUUAUGAAUGUUAAGCUAAGCCCUGACAACCCACCUUGUGUUAUGAGUUUUCAUUAUUUAACUUUACUCUUCUCAUGGUCAUUUUAAUACAUUUCCACAUAUUAAUUAUAUUCAUGCUGAUGUCCUGAAAUAACCUCAGCCAAGUUCAUUAUAUAUUUUGAUGGAAAAGCACUUAAAUCUAGAUGACAAUUUAUGUUUUACAAAUUGGAUUUGGAAUAACCAUUGAAGAGCUUUCUCUAAAUAGACUCUGAUUUUGAAAUUCUAAUUAAAUGUUAUAUUUUGUUCUACAAAAAAUAAGCACCUUCAUUAUUUUGGAUGAAAUUACUGGGUAUCUCACCCAAUUAUUCAUAGCUUUGAAACAUGAGUUACUGCUUCUUGUCAUUUUGUCAGUGGGUUGAAAACCCUCUUCCAGGAAUGCCGUGAAUUCUUGAUGAAUACUGAAGAGACAGGAGAUCUGGGAUACCAGGGUUGAUCUGCACUGUGUGUGUAGGAAGUUCAACUGCUGUAGGUGCUGGAACAUUAAUUUGGAUGCCAACAUUUCUUUUGCAUAAAAAUGGGAUGUAUGAAUCUCCUACUUUGCUUCGGUUGGCUUGAGUCCUUUGUCUUCUGAACACUUUCAAUAAAAACUCUGAAGAGCUUCUCAUCACUGUAGAAUAUAGUACAACUGCGUAAAGUUGCCCUCCAGGACCUGCAGAUUCCAACCUCUGCCUGACUCCAAAGUCGUCAUCUUGCGUCAUUCUCCCUUCACCCACAUUGUGCUCCAGACACAUUUUCCUUCAGUUUCUCUAAUAAAUACAACACGCUUCUCACUGCU
rnacentral:lncRNA from 1 species